AACAAGCUUAAAAGAAACAACAAAUGCAGAAUGAGUAAAGUUAGAGAGAUUCCAUGUGACUUGGAGCACGUGAAAGCAACGCGGUAGAAAACAGAGCCAAAGGGGCAAAACAUAUAGUUGUUAGCUGCUUCGUACUCUAUCACUCUAGCUAGUUAUUCGUGUUUUGCUACGGGUUGUUAUAUACAUCAUAUAAAUAGGUAUUGUGAUAUUUAUUUAAAUAUAAUUAUUGUUUAUUUUUAAACACUAAAUUACGUGUGAUCUGAUGGUUAGCUUCAAAUUUCUCGAGUAGAUUUAGGAUCUAUGACGUACAUAUUCACACGCGAGAGCGGGACCUGCAGUACUAGUUUUGGGUGGCUUAGCAGUCGUUGAAAGCAUCACAUGAUGGGUACUCUGAAGCAGGAGAGGUUGGGGGCAGUUCUGCUUGCAGAUUGAGAAACUGCGCACUUGGCCUCAACUCUGAACCUUCUCAUCAUCAUCCCAGAGAAGAAGCGAAGCGCCUGAUCUGAUCAACACCGUUAUGUUUGUCGCAAAUCUGAAAAAAAAUGGAGAUUUCAGUCUACCGAACCUGUACUAUUCCACCACUUGUUUUGUCAUCCUGUUUUGUUUUCUUCUGUGAUGGGAGCUGCAUCUCCAUCCAACCCAUUUUGCGUUCUUGACAUUUUGGCUGCCCCCACAACACAAGCUCGCUCGCUCGCUCAAGUCUCCAGUGUGCUUCGUUGCUGUGACUGCUGUACUAAGUGUCCUCAGGUUUUUCUUUCUUUCUCCUUGCCGAACAAGCAAACAACUUGCAGUACUUUCUAGUAGCAGCCAGAUCCUUAAGAAUCACUGAGCUUGAUCACUAUCAGCAGAAGCAUCUAUCAGCCCAUUUUUUUCUUCUUCUUGUUAUUAUUAUCGUCUGAAUUCGUCACAUGAUCCCCGUGAAAAAGGGUCAGAAGUUGGAUGGUCAAUUCCAGAGGCCGGCCGUGGGGGACGAUCAGACCAGAUCAGAUCAGAUCAGCUCGUGUUGUUGCAGGAGAAAGCGCAGAAAAGACCUGCACCAGCAUGACCGACCUGCAUGCACAUUACAACUCCACACGCACGUUGCUGAAACAAGCAGCUAACUUUUGUUUCCUUGAUACCACUCUGACUUGCAUUGUGUUGCCUUGCCUCUACAAUUUUCUUGUCAGCAUGGGCGGUAGACGAAUGGAUGGAUGGAUACAAUACAACUGAGGGGUGGGAGAGCUUGAAGAGCAGGUCAAGAAGAUGCGGUAACCGAAUUUUCGCUCCAGUUGUUGAAUUUCAUUUAGACUGCAUAAAAACGUUCCUACCUGCUGUCUGUUCCUCUUCCGAUCCGGCGUUGUACUGCAGACCUUGUCUUGCUUCUAGAGGUUGUACUACUACUAGUGCAUGCCCUUCUGUUUGGUGCAUAUAUAUAUAUACAUGAGGAAAAGGUGUGGGUGAUUGAUGGAUAGAUUUCAGUUUGAUGAUGGAUCCAUUUUGCUUUUCUUUCUUUCUUUCUUUCUUUCUUCAUGUGCUGACAGGACAGGUGCCAAUAAGGCUUAGAUAACAAGCUGCUAAUUGGGGUGCACAAACCAGGGACUUGGCAGGCCACCUAACUAGCUAGCUGCUAGAGAUUUUUCUGUCACCUCGUUCCCACAAUUAAUGUAUCUGAAAAGCAACAAAAGUGUUGUUUCUGAA